UGAUAUAAUAUUUGUUUGUCAUCAGGACAAAUUCUGUGGACAAUGAAGAUUUUCAAUGUCUUUGUUCACAAUCAAGAUUCAGACUUCUUUAGGUUACAGACACUCAUAUUCAUUUUGAAAAUCGCAGCAAUUUAAAAGGUCAAGAUCCAGUGGUGGUGCAUGUGUUAUCUUGCUCUCCGUGCUCACAGAAAUGGCAGCAGUGCAUGAAGGACGAUGGAGAAAGCAUCACAAUCUGGAACCUGAGUGGAAUGACUGUCUCCUUACGCAAGUAACUCAGGAAGUGUAUUUAUACGUGAGUUUGAGCAUCCUAUCAUACUUUUCUUGGCCAUAUGGAUGGAGGCUUCAUUCAAUUGCUUGUUUACAUCAUUUGUCUACUUUUGCUGUUGGUUUGUUUUUCUUUUGUGUGUUAACUGCUUAGAGCUCUUUGUUUAUGUUGAUGUUAACUCUGUAUAUGUCCUCUAAAAUGUAAAUCUUUUCCCCAGACUAAUUUUGUCUAUUGAUGUUAUGGUAUCUUUUCCUAAGUCCUUAAAAUUUGUUGAAAUUGUCAAAUAUAUCUAUUUGGAAUUUCAAUUAAUACUUAAGAGGCUUAUUCUACCCCUAGAAUGUACAAAGCCAUUUUGCUUAUUA